rnacentral:rRNA from 1 species
UAGGGAAUCUUCCGCAAUGGACGCAAGUCUGACGGAGCAACGCCGCGUGAGUGAAGAAGGUUUUCGGAUCGUAAAGCUCUGUUGUUAAGGAAGAACGAGUGUGAGAAUGGAAAGUUCAUACUGUGACGGUACUUAACCAGAAAGGGACGGCUAACUACGUGCCAGCAGCCGCGGUAAUACGUAGGUCCCGAGCGUUGUCCGGAUUUAUUGGGCGUAAAGCGAGCGCAGGCGGUUAGAUAAGUCUGAAGUUAAAGGCAGUGGCUCAACCAUUGUAGGCUUUGGAAACUGUUUAACUUGAGUGCAGAAGGGGAGAGUGGAAUUCCAUGUGUAACGGUGAAAUGCGUAGAUAUAUGGAGGAACACCGGUGGCGAAAGCGGCUCUCUGGUCUGUAACUGACGCUGAGGCUCGAAAGCGUGGGGAGCGAACAGG